CAAUUUAUGAAGCCAGUGUAACUUCAGUUUCAAAACAUGACCAGGAAAUUCCGAGAGAGAAAUUUCAGGGCAACUUCAGUCAUGAACACAUCGACCAAGAUUCAUAAUAUUUCAGAAAUAAAAAUGUUUACAGCCUAGACUGUUAUUUCCCCAUUUCUGAUUGAAUUGGUAAUUGGAAAAACACCUUAAGCCAAGAAGACUUCUGUCCUUUGUCGAUGGAUACCUGGGAUCCUGUAUGGUCACUGGUUUGUGUCCCGGCUGGUCC